AUGUACAUGGUUCGCGAUGCUCCUUCAUCCUCGCCUCAUGCCAUGCUCGCCUCCAUCACUCUCUGGCACCGCCGACUCGGUCACCCCCAACCUGCUACAACGACCACCCUUCUUCAGGAAUUUCGGCUCCCUCAUGAUCGGGGCGUCCAUGAUUCGUCUUUGUGUCAUGUAUGCCAAAUGGGCAAGCAUGUUAGGCUACCCUUUGGUGCAUCUACUACGCGUAGUUCUUUUCCUUUCGAAAUGUUGCAUUGUGAUCUCUGGACAUCACCUACUCCUAGCGUUUCUGGUUUUAAGUAUUACCUUGUACUUUUAGAUGACUACUCUCAUUAUGUAUGGACCUUUCCCAUUCGCUCAAAGUCAGAUGUUCAUAGUUUGUUUGUCAAAUUCCACCGAUAUGUCUCUGCUCACUUCUCUCUCCCUAUUCGGUUUCUUCAAUGCGAUAAUGGUCGUGAGUUUGAUAACACUCGCAAUCGUGAUUUCUUUCUACACCACAGCAUUCUUCUUCGUUUCUCCUGCCCAUAUACAUCACCGUAG
rnacentral:rRNA from 1 species